UACGUAGGGUGCGAGCGUUGUCCGGAAUUAUUGGGCGUAAAGGGCUCGUAGGCGGUUUGUCGCGUCGGGAGUGAAAUCCACUGGCUUAACUGGUGGCUUGCUUUCGAUACGGGCAGACUGGAGGUAUGCAGGGGAGAACGGAAUUCCUGGUGUAGCGGUGAAAUGCGCAGAUAUCAGGAGGAACACCGAUGGCGAAGGCAGGUCUCUGGGCCGAUACUGACGCUGAGGAGCGAAAGCGUGGGGAGCGAACAGG
rnacentral:rRNA from 1 species